ensembl:rRNA 5S_rRNA 5S ribosomal RNA
GUGUACCGCCAUACCACCCUGUACGUGCCCGAUCUCAUCUGAUCUCGGAAGCCAAGCAGGGUCCGCCUGGUUACUACUGGUAUGGGAGACUUCUUGGCACCACUGGGAAAGUGGCGGCUCAUU